rnacentral:rRNA from 1 species
UUAAAUGAAUUGACGGGACCCGCACAAGCGGUGGAUGAUGUGGUUUAAUUCGAUGCAACGCGAAAAACCUUACCCACCUUUGACAUGGCAGGAAUCCUAAAGAGAUUUGGGAGUGCUCGAAAGAGAACCUGCACACAGGUGCUGCAUGGCUGUCGUCAGCUCGUGUCGUGAGAUGUUGGGUUAAGUCCCGCAACGAGCGCAACCCUUGCCAUUAGUUGCUACGAAAGGGCACUCUAAUGGGACUGCCGGUGACAAACCGGAGGAAGGUGGGGAUGACGUCAAGUCCUCAUGGCCCUUAUAGGUGGGGCUACACACGUCAUACAAUGGCCGGUACAGAGGGUAGCCAACCCGCGAGGGGGAGCCAAUCCCACAAAGCCGGUCGUAGUCCGGAUCGCAGUCUGCAACUCGACUGCGUGAAGUCGGAAUCGCUAGUAAUCGCGGAUCAGCAUGUCGCGGUGAAUACGUUCCCGGGUCUU